UGCCACUAUUCUAAGGAGCAUGGUUGA
rnacentral:piRNA from 1 species